AUAUCAAUAAGCGGAGGAAAAGAAACCAACAGGGAUUCCCCUAGUAACGGCGAGUGAAGCGGGAACAGCUCAAAUUUGAAAGCUGGCCUUCUGGUCCGCAUUGUAAUUUGUAGAGGAUGCUUUUGGCGCGGUGCCUUCUGAGUUCCUUGGAACAGGACGCCUUAGAGGGUGAGAGCCCCGUACAGUUGGACACCUAGCCUUUGUAAAGCUCCUUCGACGAGUCGAGUAGUUUGGGAAUGCUGCUCUAAAUGGGAGGUAAAUUUCUUCUAAAGCUAAAUACCGGCCAGAGACCGAUAGCGCACAAGUAGAGUGAUCGAAAGAUGAAAAGCACUUUGAAAAGAGGGUUAAAUAGCACGUGAAAUUGUUGAAAGGGAAGCGCUUAUGACCAGACUUUUUCCUGGCGAAUCAUCCGGCGUUCUCGCCGGUGCACUUCGCCAGGUUUAGGCCAACAUCGAUUUCCGCCGGGGGAUAAAGGCUUCGGGAAUGUGACUCCCUCCGGGGAGUGUUAUAGCCCGUUGCGUAAUACCCUGGUGGGGAUCGAGGUUCGCGCUUCGGCAAGGAUGUUGGCAUAAUGGUCAUCAGUGACCCGUCUUGAAACACGGACCAAGGAGUCGAACAUUUAUGCGAGUGUUUGGGUGUUAAACCCUCACGCGUAAUGAAAGUGAACGGAGGUGAGAGCCUUAGGGUGCAUCAUCGACCGAUCCUGAUGUCUUCGGAUGGAUUUGAGUAAGAGCAUAACUGUUCGGACCCGAAAGAUGGUGAACUAUGCGUGGAUAGGGUGAAGCCAGAGGAAACUCUGGUGGAGGCUCGCAGCGGUUCUGACGUGCAAAUCGAUCGUCAAAUCUGCGCAUGG
rnacentral:rRNA from 1 species